rnacentral:rRNA from 1 species
UACGUAGGGGGCAAGCGUUGUCCGGAAUCAUUGGGCGUAAAGAGCGUGUAGGCGGCUCGAUAAGUCCGCUGUGAAAGUCCAGGGCUCAACCCUGGAAGGCCGGUGGAAACUGUCGGGCUAGAGUCCGGAAGAGGCGAGUGGAAUUCCCGGUGUAGCGGUGAAAUGCGCAGAUAUCAGGAGGAACACCAAUGGCGAAGGCAGCACUCUGGGACGUGACUGACGCUGAGACGCGAAAGCGUGGGGAGCAAACAGG